GAUGAAGAACGCAGCGAGAUGCGAUACUUGGUGUGAAUUGCAGAAUCCCGUGAACCAUCGAGUCUUUGAACGCAAGUUGCGCCUCAAGCCAUUAGGUUGAGGGCACGUCUGCCUGGGCGUCACAUAUCGUUGCCUGAUGCCAGUUUCCUCGUGAUGGGUGACUGUGCAGGGCGAAUGAUGGCUUCCCGUGAGCAUUGUUGCCUCAUGGUUGGUUGAAAAUUGAGUCCUUGGUAGGGAGCGCCGUGAUAGAUGGUGGUUGAGUGACGAACGAGACCCAAUCAUGUGAGACCCCUACCGAAUUUGGCCUUCAUGACCCACAUGCGUCUUUGGAACGCUCAUGACGAGACCUCAGGUCAGGCGGGGCUACCCGCUGAGUUUAAGCAUAUCAAUAAGCGGAGGA
rnacentral:misc_RNA from 1 species